UAGCGAUGUGCAUAUUUCAACGGGAGAAGGUGGCUAGGUUAGAGACCCACGGUCGGCACGAGGAACGCCACAGUGUGGUAUAUUUGGGCUGGGAAAGGCUCCCGUGCAAAGAAUUUUAACACAUUCUUCUCUGGGCGGCCGAGGAGGCCACGCUAACCUGACAGCUCUGGAGCAAACGGUUAGAGAAAAUGGAUCGCUUUCCUCGGCCCAGGAUCCCCCACAGCCCCACCCCGUCCCGGCCCGGGGCGGCGUGUCCCUCGGUGUCUGUACUUAUGGGGUCAUAAGUUGUGGAAGAAAUAUGUCAGCCAAGGCUGGGAAUGCCUAGAGCACUGCUUCUUGUGUGGGAAGAUUCAUGGAAACAGAUUCAUGGAAACCAGGGUGGCCUGAGACUGAAGCUUCCAAGCCCAAGUAGCCUCCUGGGGUUGGUGGCAUGGAAAAGGAUUCAUCAUCUGCAAAACGAGGAUUGUGAUGAGGAGUGAAGGAAAUCAUUUGCUUGAGUGUGAACAGCCUGUCUGGCACUUUAAUGUUAAGAUGGUGAUGAGAAGAGGAAGGCGAGGCGAGAGAUGAUAGAUUGAGACCCUUGGCAGUGCUGCAGAAUGAACUUAGAGAACUACUGCCUUAGACUGGGCUAAGCAGGGAUUUUUUCUUUUUUCUUUUUCUGAAUGGGUUAGCCUGACCUCCUUCAGCAGAGGCUGGUGGGAACUGGGGAUGCAUAAGAUGAAAAUACACGGGCCGAGGGGAAUUUAUGUUCAUUUUGACCUCAAUUAACUUAUAAAACAUAUAAGAAAUUAUAUGCAAAUAAGUACCAAUUAUUUUCUGUCAGGAUCUUGUGUCACUUUUUGCAGUCUUGGCAUCUACAUUAUGCCGGGUCACUUGAUCCUCAAUUUUCCACGCCGGGCCAUCACCCCCAAUUCAUUUUGUACCCACCAAUUUCCUGACAGCAUUGCCAGUUUCAGACUAUCUUUUUAUUUAUUCUUUGUUCAGAUCCUGACUGACCUUGUAAACUUCUUUAUUGCCUAGAACUGGUAAGACAGCACUGCAUAAAUUAAUAAAAAUGUUGCCUUUUAAUAUAUCAGCAAAAUGACUGGAGAGCUGUUGAAUUCAUAAUAUGUAUUCUUAGAGAUUUUCAAAGCAUCUCCUAGGGUUUCAGUGCACAAUCCCUAUUAAAGCUAAAUACGAUUGGAGUACAUCGCCUCAAAAAUCCUUACCUAACAGUUCUCCUUGGAUCUCUAUUAG
rnacentral:lncRNA from 1 species